UACGUAGGGUGCAAGCGUUGUCCGGAAUUAUUGGGCGUAAAGAGCUCGUAGGCGGUCUGUCGCGUCGGCUGUGAAAUCCCGGAGCUCAACUCCGGGUCUGCAGUCGAUACGGGCAAACUGGAGUACUGCAGGGGAGACUGGAAUUCCUGGUGUAGCGGUGAAAUGCGCAGAUAUCAGGAGGAACACCGGUGGCGAAGGCGGGUCUCUGGGCAGUAACUGACGCUGAGACACGAAAGCCAGGGGAGCGAACGGG
rnacentral:rRNA from 1 species